GCAAUUUUAAUGGGCGUGUGAUUUUGAAGACUUAUUCCAUGCAUAAUGCCGGAGGACAGAGACAAUGGGGUUAUUGCCUCGCGUGUUGUGCGUCAAUUUUGAUCCGCUGACAGGAAAAAUAUAUAUAAAAAAAAAAAUUGGAAAAAACAAAAAAUAUAUGGGAAUAUGGGAGGAAGCUAAGCCGGAGAAAGGAGACGGAAAAUUGAAAUUGUCAGAGGAGCUAGCAGGCCAAACAGGACCAACAGGCGGAAGAGUGAUUGCCGACAUGCAUCGCCGGCAUUGGCGUGCCAAAUGUAACGAUUUAGGCAUUAGUCCGGCCAAGCUUGUUGAAUUCCGGAGCUGACGGAUAUAUUUCUGUGUCAUCGUAAAAAUCGCCGGCUAUUACUUGAUUGUCCUUCAUGAGAGCCAUAAAGCCGUUGGCGGCCUACGGACUUUGCCCUCUCUGCCCUAUGGCCUAUUGGCCCGGGGGGCCAUUGUAAAAUGAUUUACUCGCCGGGCUGCCCCUCCUCUAGCUCCUUCCGUUCAUUUGUGGCGGGAAAUCGGUGGCGGUUUUUGGAUAACAGGGAUUUAACGACGCAUCACUGACACACAAACUGGAAUUUGGAGUUUUGGAAUUAGAAGAACGAAACUGACUUUUGCGAUGGGAGGAGUUCUUCGAGUCCUUACGAAAUCUAUUCACGAUUCUUUCUAUGGCAAAAUAAUGUUACCAUUUUAUUGUAUUUAUUCUUCUUGUCUUUUAGGCUGGUCCUAGUGGGUUUUUUCGUCCUUUAUUUUUUAUAUUUGUUGGCUUUUUUUUACGCCUUUGUA